rnacentral:rRNA from 1 species
GACGAACGCUGGCGGCGUGCUUAACACAUGCAAGUCGAACGGAAAGGCCCUGCUUUUGUGGGGUGCUCGAGUGGCGAACGGGUGAGUAACACGUGAGUAACCUGCCCUUGACUUUGGGAUAACUUCAGGAAACUGGGGCUAAUACCGGAUAGGAGCUCCUGCUGCAUGGUGGGGGUUGGAAAGUUUCGGCGGUUGGGGAUGGACUCGCGGCUUAUCAGCUUGUUGGUGGGGUAGUGGCUUACCAAGGCUUUGACGGGUAGCCGGCCUGAGAGGGUGACCGGCCACAUUGGGACUGAGAUACGGCCCAGACUCCUACGGGAGGCAGCAGUGGGGAAUAUUGCACAAUGGGCGGAAGCCUGAUGCAGCAACGCCGCGUGCGGGAUGACGGCCUUCGGGUUGUAAACCGCUUUCGCCUGUGACGAAGCGUGAGUGACGGUAAUGGGUAAAGAAGCACCGGCUAACUACGUGCCAGCAGCCGCGGUGAUACGUAGGGUGCGAGCGUUGUCCGGAUUUAUUGGGCGUAAAGGGCUCGUAGGUGGUUGAUCGCGUCGGAAGUGUAAAUCUUGGGCUUAACCCUGAGCGUGCUUUCGAUACGGGUUGACUUGAGGAAGGUAGGGGAGAAUGGAAUUCCUGGUGGAGCGUGGAAUGCGCAGAUAUCAGGAGGAACACCAGUGGCGAAGGCGGUUCUCUGGGCCUUUCCUGACGCUGAGGAGCGAAAGCGUGGGGAGCGAACAGGCUUAGAUACCCUGGUAGUCACGCUGUAAACGGUGGGUACUAGGUGUGGGGUCCAUUCCACGGGUUCCGUGCCGUAGCUAACGCUUUAAGUACCCCGCCUGGGGAGUACGGCCGCAAGGCUAAAACUCAAAGGAAUUGACGGGGCCCCGCACAAGCGGCGGAGCAUGCGGAUUAAUUCGAUGCAACGCGUAGAACCUUACCUGGGUUUGACAUGGAUCGGGAGUGCUCAGAGAUGGGUGUGCCUCUUUUGGGGUCGGUUCACAGGUGGUGCAUGCCUGUCGUCAGCUCGUGUCGUGAGAUGUUGGGUUAAGUCCCGCAACGAGCGCAACCCUUGUUCACUGUUGCCAGCACGUUAUGGUGGGGACUCAGUGGAGACCGCCGGGGUCAACUCGGAGGAAGGUGGGGAUGACGUCAAGUCCUCAUGCCCCUUAUGUCCAGGGCUUCACGCAUGCUACAAUGGCUGGUACAGAGAGUGGCGAGCCUGUGAGGGUGAGCGAAUCUCGGAAAGCCGGUCUCAGUUCGGAUUGGGGUCUGCAACUCGACCUCAUGAAGUCGGAGUCGCUAGUAAUCGCAGAUCAGCAACGCUGCGGUGAAUACGUUCCCGGG